GCGUGUAUCCGAACGGCGUACCUGUCACUCCUCCCGCGCGCCCGCUAGUCGCCCAGUGUUUAUUAAAUGGAAACGAGUUUUAAGGUUAUAAAAACAUCAAACCAUGGCACGCUAUAAAUCUAAAGGGAUUAGAGGUAAUUGGUCAGAAGCAUCAAUGAAACAAGCAUUAACUGCAAUCAAAAGCGGUAAGAUGAAAAUAUAUACGGCUUCAAAGCACUAUAAGCCAAGACGUACUUUCAGGCGUUAUUUACUAGAGAAAGAGGUGACAAAAUCUACAUUGGGUCGGAAACCGCUUCUUAACCCUGAACAAGAGAAGAUUUUAGCAUACUUAGCAUUUUAAGUUUAAAAUUAAGAAAGACUUGUUGAGUCUCAUUGUUGACUUUAUCUUUUAAUUUAAAUUUUUGUAAAGGUACUUAGUUCCUUAUUUGUAAUGAAUAUCGCCCAAAGAAUAUCUUUUAAAUAAAUCUUCUAUUAAAAUAUAAUAA